CCUUCCUUCCUUCCUUCCUUCCUUCCUUCCUUCCUUCCUUCCUUCCUUCCUUCCUUCCUUCCUUCCUUCCUUCCUUCCUUCCUUCCUUCCUUCCUUUUUCUUUCAAUUUUUCUGGCAUUCCUGCUCUUUUCUGCCCCUUCUACAUAAUCCUGGGGCGCUCCGAGCAGCCCGGGGGUUCUCCUGGGUUUGGGGUUCCCUGUUCGCUCCCUUUGUUUGCUCAAACCCUGCCCUGGGUGGCCGUGGGGACAUCCAGGUGCCACCAGCCCCUGGUGGUGACACUGUCCCCUUCCCGGGCUCUGCAGGUGACCGGCUGGUCAAGGUGAACGGGGAGAGCAUCAUCGGCAAAACCUACUCACAGGUGAUCGCCCUGAUCCAGAACAGUGACGAUGUGCUGGAGCUCUCCAUCAUGCCCAAGGACGAGGACAUCCUCCAGCUGGUGAGUUUGCCUUGGGGACACUUGGGGACACUGGGGUGAGCAAUGGGUGCAGAACUGGGGGUGCUGGGGCAGGAACAGGGGGGACGUGGCCCCUGUGAUUUUGGGGGCACAGCUGGAGGUUGAGGCACUCCAGGGUUCAGGGUCUGGCUUGUCCUUGCACCCCCCCCCCCCCCAAAUGGGGGGGGGGGGGGGGGGGGGCUGGCUUGUCCUUGCACCCCCCCCCUCCCAAAUGGCUCUGCCGUGGGUGUGGCAGGAUCUGGGGGUGACAGUGGCCCGGGCAGGGUGGCCUGAGCCCAGGGACUCCUGCUGAUGCCCCUCCCACCCCAGCCGGGAUACUCGGUGCCUUUUGGGGUCCCCAAAGGGCUGGGGGGCAGUUACAAGGGGUGCUCCGGGCUCUGGGAAUCUCCAGAAAAGCGGAAAGUGAGCGGGGCCAGGCGGGGUGGCCGUGCCGGGAUGUUUUAGGAAGGAGGGGAGGGGGGGGGGGGGGGGGGGGGGGGGGGGGGGGGGGGGGGGGGGGGGGGGGGGGGGGGGGGGGGGGGGGGGGGGGGGGGGGGGGGGGGGGGGGGGGGG
rnacentral:lncRNA from 12 species